UCACACCGCUGCUGGAAACUGAUCCCUGCAGCUGAAGAAUGACUGAGUUCUGUAUUGUUUAGUGUGUUUAAGGUGUCGUCGUACACGCUGGAUAUUCCUGCGGCUCACCUGCUCUACAGUAACAUCCUGCUGGCCGUGUGCCGAGACGCCAGCAUUGUUGACGUCUUCUCUACAGCCGGAGACAACAGACAAUGCCUUAACACCUGGUUUAAUAAUACACAGCCUCUGGGAGUGGUGAAGAACGAUGCCAAGAGCUUUUGGAUUGUAGGAGAAAGUAAAUCUGAACUCCAGCUCAUCUUUGUUCUCUCUGUAGUUUCUGGUAGCUGCUGGUAUUCUGAUUUCUGCAACAUUAAUCUGGGCUGGGAGAAAGAAGGAUCCCGAGAAGAGCAUCAUGAGGAAAAGCGUGGGGAACAGUCCGAGGAGCAUCAUGAGGAAAAGCGUGACGAACAGUCAGAGGAGCAUCACGAGGAAAAGCGUGAGGAACAGUCCGAGGAGCAUCAUGAGGAAAAGCAUGAGGAACAGUCCGAGGAGCAUCAUGAGGAAAAGCGUGAGGAACAGUCCAAGGAGCAUCAUGAGGAAAAGCGUGACGAACAGUCCGAGGAGCAUCACGAGGAAAAGCGUGAGAAACAGUCCAAAGAGCAUCAUGAGGAAAAUCGUGAGGAACAGUCCGAGGAGCAUCAUGAGGAAAAGCGUGAAGAACAGUCCGAGGAGCAUCAUGAGGAAAAGUGUGAAGAACAGUCUGAGGAAUAUAAACAGAGGAAAGUUUGGGUUACAGCAGCUACCAUACAUGAAGGCUUUAUCGUGUGUGGAGACGCCAAGGGGUACAUGUGGACCAACCAGCCGCCGAGCAUGACCAGCUGGAGCAAGAAAAGACGAGCUCACAGUGACCGGGUCAGCGUGCUUCGCCUCACAGAUAAAGCCAUUAUCUCCGCCUCUUCUGAUGGGACGAUCAAACUGUGGGACAGAAACACAAACAAACAGGUGGGUCUGUUUGUAUGUGGAGCUCCGGUGGAGAUACUGGAAAUAAACGAGGAUGACCCCAGUCAGCUGGUGUGUGGAGAUGCCCUGGGGCAGGUCUACUUCCUGUCCUGGCUGGGAUAAUUCUCCUCUACGACCUUCCGUUCAGACAGCAGAUCUACUGCAAACACGUUAAUCUGGAGAGGGCACCAAUAAUACAACCAUUAUUGAUUAAUAAUUGUACUUUAAUUAAUUUAUUGUAUUUAAUUAAUUAUAAUUUAUAAUUAGGGUUGUCAACAUUAAAGCGUUAAAACACAAUUCAUUUGGAUCAGUAACACAUUAUUAUGUUUUUCACGCAAAUUAAAUUGGUCCAGUGGGCUAUGCUUUGCCGCUAUGAUCUGGAGAUCACUGAUCACUGUUCGAAUCCUGAUUAUGUAGCUUGCCAUUGGUUGCCAGUUCCCCAAAAUAGCACAGUUGGUCUUGCUCUCUCUCUGGGUGGGUACAGUACAGUAGAUGGCGCUCUUACCCCUCAUCACUCCUAGGGUGAUGUGGAUCAGCACAAGGAUGCGUCUGUGAGCUGAAGUAUCAAAACCGAGUCGCUGCGCUUUCCUCCGAGCGUUAGCCCUGUGAUGCUACUCGGUAAUGCUGCAUCAGCAGCAGUUCAAAAAGAGGCGGAGUCUGACUUCACAUGUGUCGGAGUAGGCAUGUGCUAGUCUUCACCCUCCUGGUGUUGGGGCAUCAAUAGCGAUAGCAGGAGUCCUAGUGAGUGGAGUGGGUAAUUGGCCGUGUAAAUUGGGGAGAAAAUAAGAUAAAAUAAAUAAAUAAACAAUUACA
rnacentral:lncRNA from 1 species